UAUGCUCACCCUUUCUUCAUGCUGUUUUUCCUGGGGCUGAAAUUUACAUUUCUGGUCUUUGAAGGCAGCUCUUCUGUCAGUGUGUGCAAUCCACUGUGGCUCCUGCAAUCCCAUUACUGUCCCAGAUAGAGCGAUGAAUUUGCUGGUGGUGGCUGCUGCCUCUGCAUUUCUGACCAGAGUUUCCGGGACGGAUGUGAAAAAUACUGCAUCAGACUAUCCCAAGUUGGAAGGGAUCCACAAGGAUCAUCGAGUCCAACUCCUGAUGCCACACAGGACCAUCCAAACCCUAUGCCUGAGAGCACUGUCCAAACACUCCAACUCCAGCAGUUUUUGUUUCUUACAGCAUCACAUCUUGCUUUGAUGGUACAUGUUUCUGGCAUGCCCUUUAUGUCUCUAUAGUGUAUGUAGGAACUGGAGAAAAGGCACUGCUGAACUGGAAAGAUAAGUUAAUUCUACCCAUACCCCAUCCUGUUUUACCUAGUGUGUGAAAUCUCCAUACUUCUGAUGCCAUUUGAGUUUUUGUCACUGAGUGUGAUCUACAUUUGCUGUUUCAAACUGUACAAUGUCCAUGUUACAGUGAUUAAAUUUCUGGUGUUCACCACUGUUUCUGGAUUGUUGAGAAGAGUUUCCCAGGAUGAAUGUAAAAUGUACUGUAGCAAUACUUUUUACAGUCAUGGAAGUAACCAGGUGAGAAGGUUGUGAGUGGAGAUGUCUGGGAGGAUAUUACUGUGUCUGCCUAUAAUAAUGUAAGUUGACUGCUUUUCCUUUUUCCUUCUAAAUUACAAUCUGAUUCAUGACUUAUAAUUGGCUUGUUUAUGGAAUGCACUUUUUUCUCUAUCACAUACCUAAUUGAGAUUUGUCACUGUGUUACUGGAAAUGUAAUUUAUCCAAACCCCUAUACCAUCUUUUUUUUUUUUUUUUUUUUUUGUAGUGAUCUUCACCUUUUUUCAGGGGAGCUCAUUUUCCUAGGGUUUUAAUAUGUUUGAGCUCUUUUUUCCAUGCUACUUUUCAUUUUACAGUUGUAGAAUGUUCUUGUCUUACCAUACCACUGACUGCAUGUUAUUUAUGUUACCCUAGGAUGUUUUUCUUCUGUUUUGCUAUUCAGACAAGCGUUUGAAAGCCUUGUUGUGAGCUUGGGGGAGAACUGGAUAGGGUAGGAGGAUCUGCCCACAGUGAUUUUAGUUGGUUCUUCUUUCAUUGUUCCUUCUUUGACUGUCGCAGGCCUUGAGAAUGACAUCACCAAAACAUGGAACACCUCUAUCCUCUCACUCCUCCACAAAUCCAUUUGAGAGUGUCUUGACCUUUUACAAAGACAGAAGGUCAUUCAUCUAAGGACUGAGGGACACUCAGACCCUGACUGUAGCCCAUAAUGAUCUGAAUUCAGCUGGAAUCUGCCUGUAGCCAUGGACAAAGGGAACUCUCAGCACCAACCACUUUCUCUUUCUGAACCAUCUGAAAAUAAAUUUUUUAAUUAAUGAUCUUAUUGGCU